AGUGAACGCUGGCGGUAGGCCUAACACAUGCAAGUCGAACGGCAGCACAGUAAGAGCUUGCUCUUACGGGUGGCGAGUGGCGGACGGGUGAGGAAUACAUCGGAAUCUACUUUUUCGUGGGGGAUAACGUAGGGAAACUUACGCUAAUACCGCAUACGACCUACGGGUGAAAGCAGGGGAUCUUCGGACCUUGCGCGAUUGAAUGAGCCGAUGUCGGAUUAGCUAGUUGGCGGGGUAAAGGCCCACCAAGGCGAUGAUCCGUAGCUGGUCUGAGAGGAUGAUCAGCCACACUGGAACUGAGACACGGUCCAGACUCCUACGGGAGGCAGCAGUGGGGAAUAUUGGACAAUGGGCGCAAGCCUGAUCCAGCCAUACCGCGUGGGUGAAGAAGGCCUUCGGGUUGUAAAGCCCUUUUGUUGGGAAAGAAAAGCAGCAGGUUAAUACCCCGCUGUUCUGACGGUACCCAAAGAAUAAACACCGGCUAACUUCGU
rnacentral:rRNA from 1 species